rnacentral:rRNA from 1 species
AGUGAACGCUGGCGGUAGGCCUAACACAUGCAAGUCGAACGGCAGCACAGUAAGAGCUUGCUCUUACGGGUGGCGAGUGGCGGACGGGUGAGGAAUACAUCGGAAUCUACUUUUUCGUGGGGGAUAACGUAGGGAAACUUACGCUAAUACCGCAUACGACCUACGGGUGAAAGCAGGGGAUCUUCGGACCUUGCGCGAUUGAAUGAGCCGAUGUCGGAUUAGCUAGUUGGCGGGGUAAAGGCCCACCAAGGCGACGAUCCGUAGCUGGGCUGAGAGGAUGAUCAGCCACACUGGAACGGAGACACGGUCCAGACUCCUACGGGAGGCAGCAGUGGGGAAUAUUGGACAAUGGGCGCAAGCCUGAUCCAGCCAUACCGCGUGGGUGAAGAAGGCCUUCGGGUUGUAAAGCCCUUUUGUUGGGAAAGAAAAGCAGCAGGUUAAUACCCCGCUGUUCUGACGGUACCCAAAGAAUAAGCACCGGCUAACUUCGUG